rnacentral:rRNA from 1 species
GACGAACGCUGGCGGCGUGCUUAACACAUGCAAGUCGAACGGAAAGGCCCUGCUUUUGUGGGGUGCUCGAGUGGCGAACGGGUGAGUAACACGUGAGUAACCUGCCCUUGACUUUGGGACAACUUCAGGAAACUGGGGCUAAUACCGGAUAGGAGCUCCUGCUGCAUGGUGGGGGUUGGAAAGUUUCGGCGGUUGGGGAUGGACUCGCGGCUUAUCAGCUUGUUGGUGGGGUAGUGGCUUACCAAGGCUUUGACGGGUAGCCGGCCUGAGAGGGUGACCGGCCACAUUGGGACUGAGAUACGGCCCAGACGCCUACGGGAGGCAGCAGUGGGGAAUAUUGCACAAUGGGCGGAAGCCUGAUGCAGCAACGCCGCGUGCGGGAUGACGGCCUUCGGGUUGUAAACCGCUUUCGCCUGUGACGAAGCGUGAGUGACGGUAAUGGGUAAAGAAGCACCGGCUAACUACGUG